GGAAGCACACUGCGGCGAUUCUGGAGAGGUUGUCCUUUUCUGGCAUCAGCGUUGCGGCUCGAGGCAAAGCUGGUCCUGUGCCUGCUGUCCAUUGCCGCUAAGGCCUGCUGCUGCCAUUCAGGCGUGUCUCUCUCUCUCUCUCUCUUUCAUGCCGCUCUCUCCACCCCAUCUUGGGACGGCCAGCUCUAAGAAUUCCUGCUACGACACUGAAUUCAACCAGGAGUAGAGACGGGGUUUCACCGUGUUAGCCAGGAUGGUCUCGAUCUCCUGACCUCAUGAUCCACCCGCCUUGGCCUCCCAAAGUGCUGGGAUUACAGGCGUGAACCACCGCGCCCGGCCAGGAGAGUGUAUUUUCUACACAUAAGUUCAGGUCAUCUCCACACAGACCCAGUUUGCCUCCCUCUUUUCCGAUCUGAAUGCCUUUAAUUUCCUUCUCUUGCCUAACUGUACUGGCUAGAACAUCCCGAACUAGGUUGAAUGAGGUGCUGAGAGUGGGCAUAAUUGGCUUCUUUACCUCCGAAGAAAAUAUUUCAUGUUUUCUUCAUUGAUUAUGAUGUUAGUUGUGGGUAUUUCAUUUACUGCCUAUAUGGUAUAAAGAUACAUUCCUUCUAUGCCUAAUUGGUUGACAGCUUUUAUUAUAUCAAAUUCUAUAAAACUGUUUUAUUUUUAAAUCUAUUGAGAUGAUCAAAUGGCGGUGUCCCUCCUCCUUUAUAAGACUAUUUAAAACAUCCUUGCCUCAGAGGGACAAAUCCCAUUUGAACAUGGCAAGUAAUCCUCUUAAUAUAAAGUGGAAUUAGGUUUGACAGAAAUUACCAGUGAAGCACUAUGGGCAUAUAUUUGAUAGGAGAUUUUUAUUAUGGAUACAAUUUACUUGUUAUUGGUCUCUUCAGAUAUUCUUUCUCAUGACUGGAUUUGCGUACGUUGUAUGAGUACAAAUUUUUUCAUUUAUUCUACGCUGCUCUUUAUUAUAUGCUUCCUUCUGUAAAAUUUGGACUGUUUGUUCUUCCCAUUAUAUUAAUAGUUGCUUCAGGUGUAACAUAAGGUUAUUUUUUAAGUACUUUUCUGGUAUCACAAAUAUUGGUGUUUUGUGUUUCAUCUUUCAUUUGUCAAAAUAUUUUUUAACUUCCAUUUGGAUUUAAUGAUUCACCCAUUCAUUAUUCAAAAGCAUAUUGUUUAAUUUCUAUGUGUUUGUGAACAUUCUAAUGUUCAUUCUACUAAUAGUUCCUAGGUUCAUGCAAUGUGCUUAAAAAUGUGGUAUAAUUUCUGUAUUAUUAAAUGUAAAACUAGUCUUGAUUCGUAACAUAAGGCCUACGCAAAGAUCCAUCUUCUGCAGAGAAGAAUGUAGAUUGUGCCGCUGUUAGACGAAGUAUUCUGUAUACGUCAGUUUGCUUUAUUUGGCAUAAAGUGUAGUGUAAGCCAGAUGUAGUGUAAGUCAGAUCCAGAUGAUCUGCCCAUUGCUGAAACUUCAGUACUUAAGUCCCCUAUUAUUAUUGUAUGGCAAUCUAUCUGUCCACUCAGAAGUUAUUAUAUUUGUUUUAUAUGAUUGAGCACUUCUGUUUUGGGUAUAUAUGUAUUUACAAUUACUAUAACCUCUUGCUGAAUUAACCCCUUUUACCAUUAUGUAAUAAACUUAUUUCCC
rnacentral:lncRNA from 1 species